GUGGGGAAUUUUGGACAAUGGGCGAAAGCCUGAUCCAGCAAUGCCGCGUGCAGGAUGAAGGCCCUCGGGUUGUAAACUGCUUUUGUACGGAACGAAAAGCCUGGGGCCAAUACCCCCGGGUCAUGACGGUACCGUAAGAAUAAGCACCGGCUAACUACGUGCCAGCAGCCGCGGUAAUACGUAGGGUGCAAGCGUUAAUCGGAAUUACUGGGCGUAAAGCGUGCGCAGGCGGUUUUGUAAGACAGUGGUGAAAUCCCCGGGCUCAACCUGGGAACUGCCAUUGUGACUGCAAGGCUAGAGUGCGGCAGAGGGGGAUGGAAUUCCGCGUGUAGCAGUGAAAUGCGUAGAUAUGCGGAGGAACACCGAUGGCGAAGGCAAUCCCCUGGGCCUGCACUGACGCUCAUGCACGAAAGCGUGGGGAGCAAACAGGAUUAGAUACCCGUGUAGUCC
rnacentral:rRNA from 1 species